UACGAAGGGAGCUAGCGUUGUUCGGAAUCACUGGGCGUAAAGCGCACGUAGGCGGAUGUGUCAGUCAGGGGUGAAAUCCCGGAGCUCAACUUCGGAACUGCCCUUGAUACAGCACGUCUUGAGUCCGGAAGAGGUGGGUGGAAUUCCUAGUGUAGAGGUGAAAUUCGUAGAUAUUAGGAAGAACACCGGUGGCGAAGGCGGCCCACUGGUCCGGUACUGACGCUAAGGUGCGAAAGCGUGGGGAGCAAACAGG
rnacentral:rRNA from 1 species